GACGAACGCUGGCGGCGUGCCUAACACAUGCAAGUCGAACGAGACCGGCGUGUGUAUUUGCGGACGGGGACGGGACGCCGGGGAACUUGCCCGUAGGUUCGCCAUCACUCCCCGAAGGGGGAGCUAAUACCGGGGGAUUUCUUCGGAGCCAGGAUUUCUGGCCGUUGGAUGGGCCCGCGUUGGUUUAGCUUGUUGGUAGUGUAAAAGCCUCCCAUGGCCUCGAUCCAUAGCUGGUCUGAGCGGAUGACCACCCACACUGGGACUGCGACACGGCCCAGACUCCGACGGGCGGGAGCGGUGGGGAAUAUUGGACAAUGGGCGCAGGCCUGACACAGCAAUGCCGCGGGAGAGAUCAAGGCGGUAGGGUUGCAAAGCUGUUUUACCCGGGACGACAGUGACAGUACCGGGAGAAGAAGCUCCGGCUAACUCCGUG
rnacentral:rRNA from 1 species